rnacentral:rRNA from 1 species
GAAGCGGCAACAGCUCAAAUUUGAAAUCUGGCUCUUUUAGAGUCCGAGUUGUAAUUUGCAGAGGGCGCUUUGGCUUUGGCAGCGGUCCAAGUUCCUUGGAACAGGACGUCACAGAGGGUGAGAAUCCCGUACGUGGUCGCUGGCUAUUGCCGUGUAAAGCCCCUUCGACGAGUCGAGUUGUUUGGGAAUGCAGCUCUAAAUGGGAGGUACAUUUCUUCUAAAGCUAAAUAUUGGCCAGAGACCGAUAGCGCACAAGUAGAGUGAUCGAAAGAUGAAAAGCACUUUGGAAAGAGAGUCAAACAGCACGUGAAAUUGUUAAAAGGGAAGCGCUUGCAGCCAGACUUGCUUGCAGUUGCUCAUCCGGGCUUUUGCCCGGUGCACUCUUCUGUAGGCAGGCCAGCAUCAGUUUGGGCGGUAGGAUAAAGGUCUCUGUCACGUACCUCCUUUCGGGGAGGCCUUAUAGGGGAGACGACAUACUACCAGCCUGGACUGAGGUCCGCGCAUCUGCUAGGAUGCUGGCGUAAUGGCUGUAAGCGGCCCGUCUUGAAACACGGACCAAGGAGUCUAACAUCUAUGCGAGUGUUUGGGUGUCAAGCCCGAGCGCGUAAUGAAAGUGAACGGAGGUGGGAACCCGCAAGGGUGCACCAUCGACCGAUCCUGAUGUCUUCGGAAGGAUUUGAGUAAGAGCAUGGCUGUUGGGACCCGAAAGAUGGUGAACUAUGCUUGAAUAGGGUGAAGCCAGAGGAAACU